rnacentral:rRNA from 1 species
UGAGUUUACUUAGUUAAGUGACAGUGGCGGACGAGCGAGUAACACGUAAGCAUCUACCCCGUACUCAGGGAUAACAUCAUGAAAGUGGUGCUAAUACCGGAUGGUCCCGAAAGGGUAAAGAUUUAUCGGUACGGGAGGAGCUUGCGGCUUAUCAGUUAGUUGGUGGGGUAAAGGCCUACCAAGACUAUGACGAGUAGCUGGUGUGAGAGCAUGACCAGCCGCGAUGGAACUGAGACACGGUCCAUACUCC